UACGAAGGGUGCAAGCGUUACUCGGAAUUACUGGGCGUAAAGGGCUCGUAGGUGGCCAACUAAGUCGGACGUGAAAUCCCUCAGCUUAACUGGGGAACUGCGUCCGAUACUGGAUGGCUUGAGUUUGGGAGAGGGAUGCGGAAUUCCAGGUGUAGCGGUGAAAUGCGUAGAUAUCUGGAGGAACACCGGUGGCGAAGGCGGCAUCCUGGACCAACACUGACACUGAGGAGCGAAAGCCAGGGGAGCAAACGGG
rnacentral:rRNA from 1 species